UCUGCUGUUUCCACUGUCUUGGAGGCUUGAGGAGCUUGUAAAGAUUGGGCUCCAUUUUUGGAGAGAACACAUGGAGGCAGAGGCUUGUAUGGUUUGGCAACAGAAAAUGGACUAAGACAGAGGUUCUGAAUGGUGAAGACAGAGGACAACCAGGCAUGCAAUGAGGUCCUCUUGAAAUUUCUAGCCUAAAUUAUAUCUGCAAUAGCAAGCCCACCUGGUACCACAUGAAGCCAAAACAAUUUGAGUGAGCUACCUCAGAGAAUGGGGACACUAGUGAGACCAGUAAGAAAUCAGAGCAAGGAGCACAGAGAUGAGAAAUUUGUUGACCAGGUG